UAGGGAAUAUUAGUUAAUGUGCGAAAGCGCGAACUAGCAACGCCGCGUGUGCGAUGAAGGUCUUCGGAUCGUAAAGCACUUUUCGGGAAGAUGAGGAAGGACAGUACUCUCGGAAUAAGUCUCGGCUAACUACGUGCCAGCAGCCGCGGUAAAACGUAGGAGGCAAGCGUUAUCCGGAUUUACUGGGCGUAAAGCGCGUGCAGGCGGUUUGGUAAGUUGGGUGUGAAAGCUCCCGGCUCAACUGGGAGAGGUCGUUCAAAACUACCAGACUUGAGGGCGGUAGAGGGAAGUGGAAUUCUGUGUGUAGUGGUGAAAUGCGUAGAUAUACGGAGGAACACCAGUGGCGAAAGCGGCUUCCUGGACCGAUCCUGACGCUCAGACGCGAAAGCUAGGGGAGCAAACGG
rnacentral:rRNA from 1 species